GGGGAAUCUUGCACAAUGGGGGAAACCCUGAUGCAGCGACGCCGCGUGAACGAUGAAGCCCUUUGGGGUGUAAAGUUCUUUCGACAGGAACGAUAAUGACGGUACCUGGAGAAGAAGCUGCGGCUAACUACGUGCCAGCAGCCGCGGUAACACGUAGGAGACGAGCGUUAUCCGGAUUUACUGGGCGUAAAGCGCGUGCAGGCGGUCCAGCAAGUUGGAUGUGAAAGCUCCCGGCUUAACUGGGAGAGGUCGUUCAAUACUACUGGACUUGAGAGUGGUAGAGGGAGGUGGAAUUCCGGGUGUAGUGGUGAAAUGCGUAGAUAUCCGGAGGAACACCAGUGGCGAAAGCGGCCUCCUGGACCACUUCUGACGCUCAGACGCGAAAGCUAGGGUAGCGAACG
rnacentral:rRNA from 1 species